rnacentral:rRNA from 1 species
UGCGCAGGUGGGCUUGUAAAUCAGUGGUGAAAUACUGCCGCUUAACGGUAGAACUGCCAUUGAUACUGCGAGUCUUGAGUAUGGUUGAGGUAGGCGGAAUGUGUUGUGUAGCGGUGAAAUGCAUAGAUAUGACACAGAACGCCGAUUGCGAAGGCAGCUUACUAAGCCAUUACUGACGCUGAGGCACGAAAGCGUGGGGAGCGAACAGGAUUAGAUACCCUGGUAGUCC